rnacentral:sRNA from 1 species
GUUGGUGGUGAUAUUAGAUGUUGUAAAUUAAAAGUUGCAUCGUUAAAAGAAAAUUCCUGAUUAAUCAUGUCCUAAACCUAUAACAGUUUGUCUACUAAAUGCAAUGAAUGACUUGCACUUGAAAAAAAAAUGUUUACAAAAAUUGUUUUACAUUUUAUCACCAACUGGAAACUGAUUGAAAAAAUAGAGCCUUUCAGAGAUGUCUUGGAUAAUUUUGAAAUGUAAAAAAAAUUAUUGUUGGAAACAGACAAAUAUACAAGUGAGCAAAUGGAAAGAUUGACCAAAGAAGCCAUUAAAAACAUGGGUCAUCAAAACCAUCGCCAGAAAGUCAAAUAUGUGGAGACUUUAAAAAAGAUUGCUCCGGUGAUUGCUACUACACAAUGUGACUCUUCAAAAAUAAUGACAUAGACACCUGGUGAACCAAGAAU